CUCCAGACAGGGCAAAGAUGUGGUCCAUGGAUGCUGUGGAUUGGCCAUGACCAGGCUCUCAGGUGACUCCACUCAUGUGAUUUUCACAGAAAGACUGCUGUCUGACCAGUGAGCAGCACAGGGCACUGUGGGUCAGACUCAGUGUCCGCAUGGUGGAAACCCAAAACUUGCAACCUCCCAAACUCCCCAGGGCUGGGAAGAUGGUGUCUGCGCUCACUGACACAGAUUUAGCAGCUGGAUAUGGUCCCAGCACCCCCACCUUCUUCCAUGUCCUGCCUGCCAGCCUCCCCCUCCAACAGCUCCCAGGUACCAACAGCUGGGAUAUCAGUAUCCCAGAUACUGAUAAAUCCAUGGGGAGAGUUGGGGGCAGGCAGUGGGAGCAACAUAUUUGCAUCCAUAACCCCUCCUCUGUGAAGUCACUGAAGGGGAUAAGAGAGGCCUGGAGAAGCCACUCCAGCUCUGGACGUCAGGAGGGCUGCUUCCACCAUGGCCUGGGCACCUGUUCUCCUGCUGAUAUUCUAUUAUUUCUCAGGUUCCCUCUCUCAGGCUUUGCUUAUUCAGCUGCCCUCCCUCUCUGCACAUCUGAGAAAUGUUGUAAGACUUCCCUGUACCCCGAGCCGUGGCUGCAUUGUUGGUGGCUGUCACAUAUUCUUGUACCAGCAGAAGUCACGGAGCCUUCCCCAGUAUCUCCUGAAAUACUACUCAGACUCAAGUAAACAGCAGGAAGCUGGGGUCCCCAGUCACUUCUGUGAAAGAUUCCUCGGGCAACAUGCAGGGAUUCUGCACAUUUCUGAGCUCCAGCCUGAGAGCAAGUCCGACUAUUACUAUUUUACAUAUCACAGCAACAGUGGCACUUUAACAGUGCUCCAGACUUAUGAGGAAAUGAGAUUAGAACCUCUCCUGCAUUCUCUCUGCCUUGUGCAGGCAACAAUACACUGUCUGGGACCAAGUGUGGCUCAUCAGUAGCAACUUUGUUGUUUGUAUUUUUCAUUCCUC
rnacentral:lncRNA from 1 species